GUGUGAUCCUGGCUCAGAACGAACGCUGGCGGCCGGUUUAACACAUGCAAGUCGAACGCCCCACAAGGGGAGUGGCAUACGGGUGGGUGUUUCCUGGGAAUCUACCGUACCCUACGGAAUAACGCAUGGAAACGUGUGCUAAUACCGUAUACGCCCUUCGGGGGAAAGAUUUAUCGGGGUAUGAUGAGCCCGCGUUGGAUUAGCUAGUUGGUGGGGUAAAGGCCUACCAAGGCGACGAUCCAUAGCUGGUCUGAGAGGAUGAUCAGCCACAUUGGGACUGAGACACGGCCCAAACUCCUACAGGAGGCAGCAGUGGGGAAUAUUGGACAAUGGGCGCAAGCCUGAUCCAGCCAUGCCGCGUGAGUGAUGAAGGUCUUAGGAUUGUAAAGCUCUUUCACCGAUGAAGAUAAUGACGGUAGUCGGAGAAGAAGCCCCGGCUAACUUCGUGCCAGCAGCCGCGGUAAUACGAAGGGGGCUAGCGUUGUUCGGAAUUACUGGGCGUAAAGCGCACGUAGGCGGAUAUUUAAGUCAGGGGUGAAAUCCCGCAGCUCAACUGCGGAACUGCCUUUGAUACUGGGUAUCUCGAGUAUGGAAGAGGUGAGUGGAAUUCCGAGUGUAGAGGUGAAAUUCGUAGAUAUUCGGAGGAACACCAGUGGCGAAGGCGGCUCACUGGUCCAUUACUGACGCUGAGGUGCGAAA
rnacentral:rRNA from 1 species